AAGAAUUGCCUGUUUCUUGAAACGGGUUCUAUUCCCAACCGUGUAUACAUACCUUUGUUGCUUUGGCAAGCCGCCUUCGGGCGCAGCUUUGGCUGAGAGUGCUUGCCAGAGGACCCCCAACUCUUUUAUUUAGUGAUGUCUGAGUACUAUAUAAUAGUUA
rnacentral:misc_RNA from 1 species